UUCAUUCCUACUGUGUGAUAGGCGCUGAACUAGGAAAUAAGGACAAAAAAGAUGUGGAAACUAACACAUUGAGUUUAGGGUCUAGUCAAUUUAAAAGUGUUUCCUUUAGACAGAAAAAGACAAAUAUUGUAUAAUUUUACUUAUUAUGUUCAAUCAAAAAGAAACCUAAACUCAUAUAUAAAGAACAUAAAUUGGUGAUUACCAAAGAUGGGGAUUGGGGUGGGCAAAAUGGGUUAAGGUGGUAAAAAAAAAAGUGUUUCCAUCAAUUCCAUGGGUAUGAGUAUGGCCCUGAACUAUCUUGUUCUUGCUGUGAGCAUUAAUAUCAUUUUCAAAAGGACAACUCUUUAUUCCCUUCUAAAUAUAAACACAUUUAACUUAUUGAGCAUUUCAUUAAAAGAGAAAGCCUGUUUUCUUCUAUAUAAAGACUGGGCUUCUGAAACAAUAUUCUAAAUGAGGUAAUCUUUAGAUAUAGCUCUUCAAUACUGACCAAUACAAUAUUCUACUACUCCAUCAAAAAAUCUGUAAAGAAUAAGAUGGUGUUAGAGAUUAGGUUGAACUCAGAAUCAGCACCAAACACACAAAAAAAUCUGAGUUUGUAGAAAUAAUUUUUGGGGACUCAGGGAAAAAGAGAAAUGUCUUCUGGCUCACACAUUUUUAAAAGUGUGCCUUUAAUUGCUAAUAUGCUAUUGAACCUUCUGUAAAGGAAAACUAAAGACUUCCAGUUGCCAACAACAUGGUUUUACUGUCAUGAGUCAGGAGUAGCUUUAACAAACAUCAAAUUCAUUCUACAAAGAAGGACUUCAGACAUACCAUUAAAAAACAAUAAUAACAAACAGUAAGUGUGUUUUAAUGGCUUCUAGCUAACUUCCUAUGUAGGAAGUCACCUAAUUCAUUUUAGAGGACCAUUUUCAACCAUUAUAUCUAUAACCAAAACCACAUAGCUCAAAGUUCAAUGCUGGGCAUAUGAUAAGGACCACUUAAAAUAUGUCUUAAUUUAAAUUAUUGCAGCCAUGUUCUGUGAUGUAAAAUGGAGCACCAGGAUCCCUCCUUUGAGUGACCUUCAGAUAAUUUU